GUUGAUAAGAAUUCUUUGUUCUUGCCAGACAGACUCCACAAUUACAGGCUUCCUGAUUUUCUUUCAAGUGUGUGUAUGACCUUGCUUUAUUUUAGCAGACAGCCCAUCAAAGUCAGUGGCCAGGCAUCUGAAUUCUGAUCACAUGACCAUGGGGAUGCUGCA